ensembl:lncRNA
UUCUAAUUUUCAACACAGUAAAGGCGAGAGACCCUUGUGUGUUCUUAUUUCAAGAACUUUAUUUUGUUUUGCGACAAUUUUUUAUGAUCAACAACAAUUGGAGUAAAAGAUUACAUCGUGGUCCAUCCUAAUAAUGGGAGACAUUUGAAAGCAAUUUCUAGAAUUAUAACAUUUACUGAGCAGAUUUUCAACAAUAUUAGAAGUACUAGUCUGAAUAAAUGUGCACUUAAUUUGCUUCUCUAAUAAUUCAGUCCUGGUACUUAUAAAUGUAAUCGAUUGAUUGAGGGUAGCCAUUACAUUUUAUUUUGAAAACAAAACAUUUAUUUUUUCAACAGAACUAGAGAACAAAAUAACAACAAUUUGAACUCACUGUAAUUUAUGAUUAAAAAAUCUGCCAAAAAAGUAAUUUAUAUGAGAAACAAUUAAAAUGUUUCAAUGUCUAACAAUUCUGGGAUUGCUGUCAUUUCUUUCUGUAUGGGAGUACGGGGUAUUGAUCACGUAAUUAUUGAUUAUUGUCACCAAAUCGGUAAAUAGUAAAGCAAAAAAGAACAGCUUUCUCGAGGAAAAGAUUCAUGCUUCUUAUGUCUCACUUCUGUUCUGAUAUCAGACUGCUUGGAUCGUUUUUAAUCUUCUUUCUGAGAAGUAAAAAACAGAAAGGUCAGUGAGAUGUAAAGCAGGAAAAAGAUCUCAACUUUUGUUUCUGUUUACGUCAACUAUUGAUUAAUCUAUUUGUUAAUUAGAAAAAAAAAAGAUUUGCAUUUUGUUCAUUUAGACUCUUUAUCAUUUAACAGUAUUGCAAGAUGAUAAAAUAAAUCAUAAUACAUUUUUGAUUACACACUUACAUUAUGUCUUCCUUAAUCAACGGUGGAGAAGUUGGUGGACGACGCUGUGAACAUAGAAAAAAAGUGUCUAAAAGUGUUCUGUUGAGUUCAAGAAUUGUAUUUAUUGUAAAUCAAAUGAAAAAAUAAAUCGGUUUUACAAUUCCAAAGAUUGAGCAGCCACCGGGCAUCCGCCAGCAGCCGGGUCGUUUGGCCAGCAGCUCCUUCACCAAGCAGCUGCUCCUGAUCGUCUCUCCUCAGAACGGCUGCAUCAGCAGAAGAGAAGGCUGAGAUGAGCGGGAAGACCUGCAGACACAACAGGACCAGCAGCACACCUUUGUCCAUGGCGGAUGAGAUGAGGAGCUCUAAAGACGACCUUUAAAUACUCGCUGGGGUUUGAUCACUUCCACGUAAACAAAAGACGUUUUGACAUGAUUUCACAAGUCCAAUUUCAUCACGUUCUUGCUUCCUUCUGUUGUAAUCUCUCUGCUGACGUGUCGGCCCAUUUCAGUGUGUUAAUUGAUCAGAAACAGGUUUGUAUU